rnacentral:tRNA from 1 species
AGGUUGGUGGUUCAUUAGUAGAAUUCUUGUCUUCUGCACAGGAGAUCCUGGUUUGAUUCCCAGCCAAUAUA